GACGAACGCUGGCGGCGUGCCUAAUACAUGCAAGUCGAGCGGACGAAUCGAAAGCUUGCUUUUCUUUCGUUAGCGGCGGACGGGUGAGUAACACGUGGGCAACCUGCCCUUUAGACGGGGAUAACACCGAGAAAUCGGUGCUAAUACCGGAUAACACGAAAUGUCGCAUGACGCUUCGUUGAAAGACGGCGCUAGCUGCCGCUACAGGUUGAGCCCGCGGCGCAUUAGCUAGUUGGUGAGGUAACGGCUCACCAAGGCAACGAUGCGUAGCCGACCUGAGAGGGUGAUCGGCCACACUGGGACUGAGACACGGCCCAGACUCCUACGGGAGGCAGCAGUAGGGAAUCUUCCGCAAUGGGCGAAAGUCUGACGGAGCAACGCCGCGUGAGCGAAGAAGGCCUUCGGGUCGUAAAGCUCUGUUGUUAGGGAAGAACAAGUGUCGAAGUAACUGGCGUCACCGUGACGGUACCUAACGAGAAAGCCACGGCUAACUACGUG
rnacentral:rRNA from 1 species